rnacentral:rRNA from 1 species
UGGCGGCGUGCCUAACACAUGCAAGUCGAACGCGAAAGUCUCUUCGGAGACGAGUAGAGUGGCGAACGGGUGAGUAACGCGUGGGCAACCUGCCCUAAACUGGGGGACAACACCGGGAAACUGGUGCUAAUACCGCAUAGAUGAUACUACGGCAUCGUAGAAUCAGAAAAGGAGUUAAAUCCGUUUUAGGAUGGGCCCGCGUCCAAUUAGCUAGUUGGUGAGGUAAUUGCUCCACCAAGGCGACGAUUGGUAGCCGAACUGAGAGGUUGAUC